rnacentral:rRNA from 1 species
UACAGAGGGUGCAAGCGUUGUCCGGAAUCAUUGGGCGUAAAGCGCGCGUAGGUGGCUUCGUAAGUCCGUUGUGAAAGUCAAAGGCUCAACCUUUGAAAGCCGAUGGAUACUGCGGAGCUAGAGUACGGAAGAGGCGAGUGGAAUUCCUGGUGUAGCGGUGGAAUGCGCAGAUAUCAGGAGGAACACCAAUAGCGAAGGCAGCUCGCUGGGACGUUACUGACACUGAGGCGCGAAAGCGUGGGGAGCGAACAGG